AUUAAUAGAAAUAUGAAAUCUGACGAUGGAAGUUAGUGAGAAUCUAACACGGUCCCGCCACUGUGAUGGCUUUUGCCUAAGUCAGGUCUUUCGCGGAUUUCAUUACACAUGCUGUUUCGAGGUAAGACAGGAUGUUGUUU
rfam:Veillonella sp. CAG:933 genomic scaffold, scf223